rnacentral:rRNA from 1 species
AGGGUUUGAUCAUGGCUCAGAACGUACGCUGGCGGCACGCCUAACACAUGCAAGUCGAACGAAGUAGCAAUACUUAGUGGCAGACGGGUGAGUAACAUGUAGGUAUCUGCCCUUUGGCCUGGAAUAACACGAGGAAACUUGUGCUAAUACUGGAUAAGUCUUUACGGAGAAAGCUUUAUGCACCAUUGGAUGAGCCUGCACUUGAUUAGUUUGUUGGUGGGGUAAUGGCCUACCAAGACUGUGAUCAAUAGCUGAUUUGAGAGGAUGAUCAGCCACAUUGGGACUGAGACACGGCCCAAACUCCUACGGGAGGCAGCAGUGGGGAAUCUUGCACAAUGGAGGAAACUCUGAUGCAGCGAUGCCGCGUGAGUGAAGAAGGCCCUUGGGUUGUAAAGCUCUUUCGUCGGGGAAGAAAAUGACUGUACCCGAAUAAGAAGGUCCGGCUAACUUCGUGCCAGCAGCCGCGGUAAUACGAAGGGACCUAGCGUAGUUCGGAAUUACUGGGCUUAAAGAGUUCGUAGGUGGUUGAAAAAGUUGGUGGUGAAAUCCCAGAGCUUAACUCUGGAACUGCCAUCAAAACUUUUCAGCUAGAGUAUGAUAGAGGAAAGCAGAAUUUCUAGUGUAGAGGUGAAAUUCGUAGAUAUUAGAAAGAAUACCAAUUGCGAAGGCAGCUUUCUGGAUCAUUACUGACACUGAGGAACGAAAGCAUGGGUAGCGAAGAGGAUUAGAUACCCUCGUAGUCCAUGCCGUAAACGAUGUGUGUUAGACGUUGGAAAUUUAUUUUCAGUGUCGCAGCGAAAGCGAUAAACACACCGCCUGGGGAGUACGACCGCAAGGUUAAAACUCAAAUGAAUUGACGGGGACCCGCACAAGUAGUGGAGCAUGUGGUUUAAUUCGAAGAUACGCGCAGAACCUUACCAACACUUGACAUGUUCGUCGCGACUUUAAGAGAUUAAAGUUUUCGGUUCGGCCGGACGAAACACAGGUGCUGCAUGGCUGUCGUCAGCUCGUGUCGUGAGAUGUUGGGUUAAGUCCCGCAACGAGCGCAACCCUCACUUUUAGUUGCCAUCAUUAAGUUGGGCACUCUGAAAGAACUGCCAGUGAUAAGCUGGAGGAAGGUGGGGAUGACGUCAAGUCCUCAUGGCCCUUACGUGUUGGGCUACACACGUGCUACAAUGGUAUCUACAACAGGAAGCAAGACUGCGAAGUUAAGCAAAUCCUCAAAAGAUACCUCAGUUCGGAUUGCACUCUGCAACUCGAGUGCAUGAAGCUGGAAUUACUAGUAAUCGUGGAUCAGCGUGCCACGGUGAAUGCGUUCCCGGGUCUUGUACACACCGCCCGUCACACCAUGGGAGUUGGUUCUACCUUAAGGCAAGGUUUAAAACCCUUGACCACGGUAUAGUCAGCGACUGGGGUGAAGUCAUAACAAGGUA